AUUGAACGCUGGCGGCAUGCCUUACACAUGCAAGUCGAACGGCAGCACGGGAGCAAUCCUGGUGGCGAGUGGCGAACGGGUGAGUAAAGUAUCGGAACGUGCCCAGUCGUGGGGGAUAACGUAGCGAAAGUUACGCUAAUACCGCAUACGAUCUAUGGAUGAAAGCGGGGGAUCGCAAGACCCAGCGCGAGCGGAGCGGCCGAUAUCCGAUUAGGGAGUUGGUGGGGUAAAGGCUCACCAAGCCGACGAUCUGUAGCUGGUCUGAGAGGACGACCAGCCACACUGGGACUGAGACACGGCCCAGACUCCUACGGGAGGCAGCAGUGGGGAAUUUUGGACAAUGGGCGAAGGCCUGAUCCAGCCAUGCCGCGUGCAGGAUGAAGGCCUUCGGGUUGUAAACUGCUUUUGUACGGAACGAAAAGGUUUGGCCUAAUAAGCUGAGCUCAUGACGGUACCGUAAGAAUAAGCACCGGCUAACUACGUGCCAGCCGCCGCGGUAA
rnacentral:rRNA from 1 species